UCGGGCCGGCGGCCGGGCGGGGGAGGGGCGCCAGCCUAUUGGUUUCGCUUCCAGGGAACCGCAAGUGCCAGUUCAAAGGAACCCUGGCGCGGGCCCGGAGCAGCCCGCCCCGCCCCGCCGCUUCCUCAGAACAGCCGCGCCCUGGGCGCUCCCGCGAGCCUGCCUCGCGCCGGGCUCGGGCCGCGGCCGGCGGUAGCCCGGCUCCUGGCGCGCCUCGGAGAGCCGCGGCGGGACCGCGUCCUGCCAGCCCCGCAGAGGCCCGGGGCUGUGGGGGCGCGAAGCCUCCAGUCCGGAGCCCUGCGGGAAGCGGCCGCUGCAGGCAGGUUGGCCCCCGCCUGUGGGCGGUGCAGCGCAGGGAGGGCUCCUGGGCGGCCUGCUUAGGCAUCCUAAGCCUCUGGCCAUCAUCACCCAGCCUCUUGCUCCGUAAUAAAGGGGGGGCUCGCCUCCCCCAUCCCCCCUUUGCCUCGUGGCUCUGGGCAAACAGGGCUCCCAGUUGCCAGUAAGAGGUGGCUAAAAUCAUGUUGGGGAAACUGAGGCAGGAGGAAAUGCUGGAGGGGGAAGGGUGGCGGGAUGGUAACGCACCACAGCACCAGAGACAGGUAAUAGAGAUGUGUAGCGACGCGAGGACCAGGCCGCUGGUGCAGGCUAUGAAUGUACUGGGGCGAACACAGGAGCAGAAGCCAAGAAAACAAGAGCAACGCGCUGGGGUGGAACUUCUAGUGCAAGGGCAGAGGGCUCCUCAAAGGUAGCUGGUCAACAUGGAUGCCCUGGUGAUUAGCACUGCAGUGCCGGCUCCAGCUUUUUUGCCGUCCCAAGCGGCGAAAAAAAAAGAGAAGAACCCGAUCAGGCUGCCGCAGAAGUGCCGCCGAGGAGCAAGACAGCGAGUGAAGGACCCUCCACCGAGUUUCCACCGAUCCAGAGCGGGCCGAUUGAGCUGCCACCGCCACCGAUCCGGACGGUGCUGCCCAACGCAUUGCCGCCCCUUUCCAUUGGCCGCCCCAGGCACCUGCUUCCUUCGCUGGUGCCUGGAGCCGGUCCUGCCUGCAGGCUACAACUUGUUUCUCCCAUAUGUUUUGUGGCUUUGUACAAUGAGAGGUAGAAAUUAUGGAGACACCAAUCCUCUAUGCUGAAGAUUUGGGUUGAGUUUUGCACUUAAAGCAGAGUUUUAACAUCUUUGAUAUAUAUGAAAACUACAGCACAUCCUCCACAAAAUAAAGCGCUUACCGUAUGAGCACAGAAUGAAUAAACAGUGAUCUUUCAUGCCUGCAGGGUGCACGUGCUUUGGGAUGUAUGCUUUCCGUCUGACAGAGGAGCCUGGUGUUCUGAGGUGGCUGUUACCUGUUGUGAGCAAUUGCAGGAGUGAGAUUUUUUUCCCCCUUAAUGGUAGCUGUGGUCUUCUGGGACCAUACAAAAGUAUGCUUUCCGUCUGACAGAAGGGUGCUGGUAUCACCCAUGAAUUCCUAGUCUGGGAUCAAUUUAAGGGAAUGUGUUUUCUGCUUGUUCUUGAGUGUAAAUAUUCCUUUCAAAGUCCUUCCCCAUCACAGGCAGGACUAACAUGAUGGUGAUGUCAUGGUUUGCAAAGAAUUCAGUGUUAAACUUGUAGAUUCACACUGUGGUAUUUAGACCUUGAUCUUCAAAGGCAUUUAGGCAACUAACUCCACCUGAAAUAAUUAUCUUUGAGGAUCUGGGCCUUAGUUACCUAAAGAGGCUCCUGGUGGUUUUGUUCCAUAUUUGGAUGGUAGAUAUAACAAACCAACUCAGUAUGAAUUGUAUGUAUUGUAAUCAAAUAUACAAAUCAUCCUCUUCCAAAGAAUUUCUGAGCAAUUGAGCUUCAUGUUUGCUUUUUGUGAAUAUUCAUGCUAGUGAAGCUCAAGUGUGUGAAUACUGUGGAAAAAGUAUGCAAAAGUAUCAGGAACAUGGUGAACUGAAAUUUUCUUUUGAAUUUGAAUAUAUGUUAGUGGAAAUUGGUUUGCAUUGUUUUCUUAGCUGUAGUGAGCACAGUCAUCACAACGGAGCUGAUCUAUUGGGUGACUGUCGCUGAGGAUUAUCUUUUAUUUGUAUUGUGGUUGCAUCUAGAGUCCCCAGCCAGUAUUAGAACCCCAUUGUGCUAAGUGCUCUAGGAACCUAUAUAGUAAGACGUGGUCCCUGCACCAAAGAGCUAACAAUCUAAUUAGAUCAGGCAGACAAAGGACUUGAGGGUAAAGAGAUGUGAAGUGACUUGCCCAGCCACAGGGUCAUACAAAAGGUCAGUAGUAGAGCUCAGAUCUCCUCAGUCCUAGCCAAUGCUGUAUCCACAUAACCAUGUACCUCUGGAGCAUGGAGUUGGAGUGUUGCUUCUCAUUUCCCCUCAGGUAUGGGGCAGCUUUUGCAUUGCAGCCAUCAUGCAGCGUAAGAGGAAAAUGUUACAAGCAUCUUCCAAUUGCUAUAAAAGCUAUAUGCGGCUAGCUAUAGGCAAACAAGAUCAGGUGAGAGGAAGGGGACAGCUGCUGUGUUUUUUUUUCUGCUGCAGACUGCAGGGGAAAAAUCCCUGGUGUGCGUGUGUAGGUACAUCAUCAGGCACUGGGUAGAACAGCAAGCAAAGGUCUCUCCAGAAGGGAAACAAGCAGGACUGCCCGAAAAGAAGGUGACCAGAUAUUUAAAAUGAAAAACAGACUACCAGAAUUUUGUUGUUGGAGAGAGGAGUGGAGAAGAUGCUCAUGAGAGGGUUUCGCCUGCUGGAGUGGACAAGGUCAUAUUUCACCCACUAGAGCAGAGGUUCUCGUGACAAAUUUUUUGGUGGCUUCAGAGUGCGGCCAUCAACUCUUGCUGGUGGCCACACUGACGCUUUUCCCUAAAAUUCUUAAUUAAUUUUAGGAAAAACAAAUAAAGAUGCAUGUAUACACAUCC